CUCCUCCCACGCCGGCCAGAGGGGCCUGCGGUCACCGGCCUCUCGCCCUUCCGCCCUGGGGUGCAGAGCCCGUGUCAGGUGCCGCGGGAAGCUUCACCUCCUUAUUCUGUUACUCGAAGCAGCUCCCCCAAACCGGUGCGGGGCUGGGCUGGAAAGGAGGCGCCCCAGAGCCCCCAGCAGAGGGGACAGGCUUGGCCUGGGCCUGCCACACCUUCUCCCCCGUAUCCCCCACCCUCUCGGGAGCCCCUCUCGGAAGGGCCAGCCGGGACCCUCUGUCCCUGGGAGCCACAGGGUGUUCUGGGGCUGCAGGAAGGCGCGCGCCCUUCUGGGAAGAAUCCAGGCUCUUGUCUCACUCAGAACAAGGAAAGGCUGCACCCCUGCAGGCAAGAGGCAGAUGCCAACCUCACCAGGGCGCAGCCCUGCCCCUGCCAGCUGUGUGGCCUUGGGCACAUCCUCUGGCCUCUCUGGGCCUCAGGCUGCCCACAUGAAAAACAGCGCCCACCAGUCCCACCUGCACGGGGCCAGCAUAAGAAGCAGAGAACCUGCCUCGGCUCCCAGAAGUCCAGACAGACCCGACACCCCCCAGCACUGCCUCUGCAGAGGCCCCAGGACAGUGGUCAGCAACCGGGGAAGGCGGUCCAUGGCCGUGGAGACCCAUUCGUGCUGAGUGCAUUCCAGGGCUUCCUGGGGCUCCGAGGGCUCUGGGCAGGCUCUCCUGGGCAGCAGUGUCGGGACCAUCAUUCCCAGGCACAGAGAGCUGGGCAGUGCGCCCGAGCCCCCCGCCCUGCCCCACAGUGGUGGCAUCGGGACUUGAACUCAGAACAGCCAGGCUGCAUACCAGCCCUGCCAGCCACCCCACUGUGCACUGUGCUUUCUGCAAAGCGGGGCGAGCCGCGGCAGAGGGGCGCAGGGGGCAAGGCAGACGGAGCUCGGGGCAAGAGCGCUCUUCCACGGAGCUGUGUGUCCUUGGGCAGGCGCACGCAUGUCUCUGAGGCUCUCUCCAUCUCUGCAGUCAGAGGUGAGUCCGGUGCUUCUGGCCUGUGCCACAGGGCUCUGCAGGGACCAGCUGCCCGCUGCCUGCUCACGGGCCUGUCCCCCGCACGCCUCGGGGCCCGAGGAGGGAAGCAGCGCCCCUCUGACAGCUCCAGCUUCCCCAGCUGCAGAGCGGAAGCAGAUGCUCGCAUCGCACUCAGCCUGCGGAGGGGAGCAGGGAACCUCCAGAGGGGCGCCUGGCCCGCGAGAUGCUCCGGCAUGCUGGCCCCUGGCCCCCACUCUUCUCCCAGACACGGGAGGGGCUCGGGGCAGGGGCCUCCAGCCGCUGCCCCACCCCACGGGCCAGGCCUCUGUGGCCUCGGACUCCUCCCAGUGUGA
rnacentral:lncRNA from 1 species